AUGCUCUCUUCACAAGAAGUCAAGAACUGGCCAUCUGGGCUGAGCAUAUGUGCGUGCACGCGCUCACUCUACGCCCUCAUGAACACCAUGGCCGUGGAUCAAGCCGCAUGCUACCUCCUCUGCAUCGUCCUGACUCUGCUUCUCCCUCCGCUGCUCCUCAAGCUCGUGAAACGUGGCGGCAACGAUGGCCUGAACCUGCCGCCGGGCCCGUGGAGGCUGCCGGUGAUCGGCAACCUCCACCAAGUCGCGCGCGGCGGGCCGCUGGUCCACCGCACCAUGGCCAACCUCGCGCGCCGGCUCGACGCGCCGCUCAUGCGCCUGCAGCUUGGCGAGCUCCGCGUCGUCGUGGCCUCGUCCGCCGACGCCGCCCGGGAGAUCAUGAAGACGCACGACGCCAGCUUCGCGACGCGCCCCUGGAACGCCACCACGCGACUGCUGCGGGCCGACGGCGAGGGCCUCGUGUUCGCGCGCUACGGCGCCCUGUGGCGGCAGCUCCGCAAGCUGUGCGUCGCGGAGCUGCUCAGUGCCCGGCGCGUGCGGUCGUUCCGCCGCGCGAGGGAGGAGGAGGUCCGCCGCCUCGUCGCCGCCAUCGCGCAGUCGGCGUCCUCCGGCGAAACCGUGAACGUCAGCGAGCGGAUCGCCACGGUCGUGGCGGACUCGACGAUGCGCGCCAUGAUCGGGGACAGGUUCGAGAGGCGGGAGGAGUUUCUGGAGGAGCUGGCGGAGAUCGUCAAGGUCGGCGCGGGGUUCAGCCUGGAUGACAUGUUACCGUCGUGGAGGCUCGCGAGCGCCGUCGGCGGCACGCCGCGCCGCGCCGAGCUGAACCACCGCAAGACCUACGAGCUGAUGGACUGCGUCUUCCGGCAGCACCAGCAGCUGAGAGAGGCCGCAGCUGAAGGCGCCAUCAAGGAAGAGGAGGAAGACCUUGUGGACGUGCUCCUUAGGAUACAGAAGGAAGACGGCCUCGAGGUGCCUCUCACCACAGGCAACAUCAAAGCGGUCAUCCUUGACCUCUUCAACGCCGGGAGCGAGACGUCAGCGAAUACACUCCAAUGGGCCAUGUCAGAGCUAAUGAGGAAUCCACCAGUGAUGCACAAGGCACAAGUCGAGCUGCGGAACAGCCUCCAAAGGAAAUCGACGGUGACCGAGGAUGACCUGGCUGGCCUAAAGUACCUAAAGCUCGUCAUCAAGGAAACCCUGAGGCUGCACACGGUGUUGCCACUGCUUCUCCCGAGGGAGUGCCGGGAGACGUGCAAUGUCACGGGGUACGACAUGCCCAAGGGCACCACCGUGUUCGUGAACGCAUGGGCGAUCAGCAGGGACCCAAAGCACUGGGAUGACCCGGAGAAGUUCAAGCCAGAGCGAUUUGAGACCACCACGAUUGACUUCAAGGGCACAGACUUUGAGUUUCUUCCGUUUGGUGCUGGGCGGAGGAUAUGCCCGGGCAUCACGUUUGCGCAGGCCAAUAUGGAGAUUGUGCUCGCCACACUGUUGUACCACUUUGACUGGAAACUCCCCGGCAAGGCCAUGCCCGGCGAGCUGGAUAUGGCGGAGGAGAUGGGCAUCUCGGUCCGAAGGAAGAACGAUCUUCACCUGUGUCCUGUUGUUCGUGUUAACCCAUGUGCCCUUGUGUAG
rnacentral:rRNA from 1 species